rnacentral:rRNA from 1 species
AGACAUGCAGUCGAGGGGCAUCACGGAAAAGCUUGCUUUUCUGGUGGCGACCGGCGCACGGGUGCGGAACGCGUAUGGAACCUGCCCCUGUCAGGGGAAUAGCCCAGGGAAACUUGGAUUAAUGCCCCAUGGUACCGCGAUAUCGCAUGAUAUUGCGGUUAAAGAUUUAUCGGACAGGGAUGGCCAUGCGUACCAUUAGUUAGUUGGUGGGGUAACGGCCCACCAAGGCAACGAUGGUUAGGGGCCCUGAGAGGGGGAUCCCCCACACUGGUACUGAGACACGGACCAGACUCCUACGGGAGGCAGCAGUGAGGAAUAUUGGACAAUGGGCGGGAGCCUGAUCCAGCCAUGCCGCGUGCAGGAUGACGGCCCUAUGGGUUGUAAACUGCUUUUAUACGGAAAGAAAUGCGCCCACGUGUGGGCGUCUGA